CCAGGACGCAGGACUCCAAUGGAGUCGUUGGUGAGAGCUAUGAGGAGGGCACUCCGCCUGCAGCCUAGAAACAUGCCCCUCUGACCCACCUCCAUUUCUAGAAACAUGCCCCUCUGACCCACCUCCAUUUCUAGAAACAUGCCCCUCUAACCCACCUCCAUUUCUAGAAACAUGCACAUAUGACCCACAAGUCCAUUUCUAGAAACAUGCCCCUUUGACCCACCUCCAUUUCCAGAAACAUGCCCCUCUGACCCACCUCCAUUUCUAGAAACAUGCCCCUCUGACCCACCUCCAUUUCUAGAAACAUGCCCCUCUGACCCCACAUCCAUUUCUAGAAACAUGCCCCUCUGACCCACACCUCCAUUUCUAGAAACAUGCCCCUCUGACCUCACCUCCAUUUCUAGAAACAUGCCCCUGUGACCCCACCUCCAUUUCUAGAAACAUGCCCCUCUGACCCCACAUCCAUUUCUAGAAACAUGCCCCUCUGACCCCACAUCCAUUUCUAGAAACAUGCCCCUCUGACCCACACCUCCAUUUCUAGAAACAUGCCCCUCUGACCCCACCUCCAUUUCUAGAAACAUGCCCCUGUGACCUCACCUCCAUUUCUAGAAACAUGCCCCUCUGACCUCACCUCCAUUUCUAGAAACAUGCCCCUGUGACCCCACCUCCAUUUCUAGAAACAUGUCCCUCUGACCCCACAUCCAUUUCUAGAAACAUGCCCCUCUGACCCCACCUCCAUUUCUAGAAACAUGUCCCUCUGACCCCACAUCCAUUUCUAGAAACAUGCCCCUCUGACCCCACCUCCAUUUCUAGAAACAUGCCCCUCUGACCCACACCUCCAUUUCUAGAAACAUGCCCCUCUGACCCCACAUCCAUUUCUAGAAACAUGCCCCUCUGACCUCACCUCCAUUUCUAGAAACAUGCCCCUG
rnacentral:lncRNA from 1 species